rnacentral:rRNA from 1 species
AUUGAACGCUGGCGGCAUGCCUUACACAUGCAAGUCGAACGGUAGCGGGCCUUCGGGUGCCGACGAGUGGCGAACGGGUGAGUAAUGUAUCGGAACGUACCAUUGAGUGGGGGAUAACGUAGCGAAAGUUACGCUAAUACCGCAUAUUCUGUGAGCAGGAAAGCAGGGGAUCGCAAGACCUUGCGCUGAUUGAGCGGCCGAUAUCAGAUUAGCUAGUUGGUGAGGUAAAGGCUCACCAAGGCGACGAUCUGUAGCGGGUCUGAGAGGAUGAUCCGCCACACUGGAACUGAGACACGGUCCAGACUCCUACGGGAGGCAGCAGUGGGGAAUUUUGGACAAUGGGCGCAAGCCUGAUCCAGCCAUGCCGCGUGAGUGAAGAAGGCCUCGGUUG